UGCAAGUCGACGGUAACAGAACUAGCUUGCUAGUUGCUGACGAGUGGCGGACGGGUGAGUAAUACUUAGGGAUCUGCCUCUGUGUGGGGGAUAACUAUUGGAAACGAUAGCUAAUACCGCAUAACGUCUACGGACCAAAGAGGGCUUCGGCUCUCGCGCAGAGAGGAACCUAAGCGAGAUUAGCUUGUUGGUGAGGUAAAGGCUCACCAAGGCGACGAUCUCUAGCUGUUCUGAGAGGAAGAUCAGCCACACUGGAACUGAGACACGGUCCAGACUCCUACGGGAGGCAGCAGUGGGGAAUAUUGCACAAUGGGGGCAACCCUGAUGCAGCCAUGCCGCGUGUGUGAAGAAGGCCUUCGGGUUGUAAAGCACUUUCAGUUGUGAGGAAAGGUUAGUAGUUAAUACCUGCUAGCUGUGACGUUAACAACAGAAGAAGCACCGGCUAACUCCGUGCCAGCAGCCGCGGUAAUACGGAGGGUGCGAGCGUUAAUCGGAAUUACUGGGCGUAAAGCGCACGCAGGCGGUCUGUUAAGCUAGAUGUGAAAGCCCCGCGCUCAACGUGGGA
rnacentral:rRNA from 1 species